GAUGAACGCUAGCGGCAGGCUUAAUACAUGCAAGUCGUGGGGCAGCGCAGUGUAGCAAUACAUGGGCGGCGACCGGCAAACGGGUGCGGAACACGUACACAACCUUCCUACAAGUGGGGAAUAGCCCAGAGAAAUUUGGAUUAAUACCCCGUAACAUAUAAAGAUGGCAUCAUUUUUAUAUUAUAGCUACGGCGCUUGUUGAUGGGUGUGCGGCUGAUUAGGUAGUUGGCGGGGUAAUGGCCCACCAAGCCUGCGAUCAGUAGCUGAUGUGAGAGCAUGAUCAGCCACACGGGCACUGAGACACGGGCCCGACUCCUACGGGAGGCAGCAGUAAGGAAUAUUGGACAAUGGGCGCAAGCCUGAUACAGCCAUGCCGCGUGAAGGAUUAAGGUCCUCUGGAUUGUAAACUUCUUUUAUAAGGGACGAAAAAAGGGAAUUCUUUCUCACUUGACGGUACCUUAUGAAUAAGCACCGGCUAACUCC
rnacentral:rRNA from 1 species